GCUUUUUUUACAGACUGUUCAGA
rnacentral:siRNA from 1 species